rnacentral:rRNA from 1 species
GAGUUUGAUUCUGGCUCAGGAUGAACGCUAGCGAUAGGCUUAACACAUGCAAGUCGAGGGGCAGCGAGGGUAGCAAUACCUGUCGGCGACCGGCGCACGGGUGAGUAACGCGUAUGUAACCUGCCCGCAACAGGGGGAUAACCCGGCGAAAGUCGGACUAAUACCGCAUAAAACAGGGGUCCCGCAUGGGAAUAUUUGUUAAAGAUUUAUCGGUUGCGGAUGGGCAUGCGUACCAUUAGGUAGUUGGUGAGGUAACGGCUCACCAAGCCUUCGAUGGUUAGGGGUUCUGAGAGGAAGGUCCCCCACACUGGUACUGAGACACGGACCAGACUCCUACGGGAGGCAGCAGUGAGGAAUAUUGGUCAAUGGGCGAGAGCCUGAACCAGCCAAGUCGCGUGAAGGAUGACUGCCCUAUGGGUUGUAAACUUCUUUUACAAGGGAAUAAAAUGAGAUACGUGUAUUUUAUUGCAUUACCUNG